rnacentral:tRNA from 1 species
GACUCUGUAGUGAAGUUCAUAGUGAGUUGCAAACUCAUUGAUGCACGCUAAUCGUGUGCCGGGGUCU